rnacentral:rRNA from 1 species
UUGGAGGGCAAGUCUGGUGCCAGCAGCCGCGGUAAUUCCAGCUCCAAUAGCGUAUAUUAAAGUUGUUGCAGUUAAAAAGCUCGUAGUUGAAUUUCGGGGUCAGUAGGUUGGUCGUGCCACUGGUAUGUACUGGUCUUACUGAUUCCUCCUUCCUGAUGAACCGUAAUGCCAUUAAUUUGGUGUUGCGGGGAGACUGGACUGUUACUUUGAAAAAAUUAGAGUGUUUAAAGCAGGCUAACGCUUGAAUACAUUAGCAUGGAAUAAUGAAAUAGGACGUUCGAUCCUAUUUUGUUGGUUUCUAGGAUUGACGUAAUGAUUAAUAGGGAUAGUUGGGGGCAUUAGUAUUCAAUUGUCAGAGGUGAAAUUCUUGGAUUUAUUGAAGACUAACUACUGCGAAAGCAUUUGCCAAGGAUGUUUUCAUUAAUCAAGAACGAAAGUUAGGGGAUCGAAGACGAUCAGAUACCGUCGUAGUCUUAACCAUAAACUAUGCCGACUAGGGAUCGGAUGAUGUUAAUUUUUUAAUGACUCAUUCGGCGCCUUACGGGAAAC